rnacentral:rRNA from 1 species
AACAAACGCUGGCGGCGUGCCUAACACAUGCAAGUCGAACGAGAAAGUCGGUUUCGGCCGAUGAGUAAAGUGGCGCACGGGUGAGUAACGCGUGGAUAAUCUACCCUUUAGUCCGGAAUAACUUGCCGAAAGGUGAACUAAUACCGGAUGACAUCCCGGGUUCUCCGGAAACCGGGAUCAAAGAAGGCCUCUGCUUGCAAGCUUUUGCUGAAGGAUGAGUCCGCGUACCAUUAGCUAGUUGGUGGGGUAAUGGCUACCCAAGGUUAUGAUGGUUAGCUGGUCUGAGAGGAUGAUCAGCCACACUGGAACUGAAACACGGUCCAGACUCCUACGGGAGGCAGCAGUGAGGAAUAUUGCGCAAUGGGGGCAACCCGUGACGCAGCAACGCCGCGUGAGUGAGGAAGGUUUUCGGAUUGUAAAGCUCUGUCGAGCGGAAAGAAAUGCACGAUGGCUAAUAUCCAAUCAUGCUUGACGUACCGCUAGAGGAAGCACGGCUAACUCCG